UUCCUAGGCUCCACUUCCCCCUCCCCAUCUCUUGGCUCGCGGCCUCUCUGGAUUGGGGGCCUGGGCUGGGGACAAGGCAGUAGGGGCCUGGAGAGGGAGGAGAAUGAGGGGGAGGUUCCUGCACAGAAGGUCACUACGUCCUGAGACCCUGGCAGCCUGGAAACCUGAUAAUUGGGGCAGACAAACCAAUCUCUGUCUGCACCAGCUUCUCUCACCAGGCCUGGGUUGGGGCCCCAUGGGGAGGAUGGCAUCACUGGGGCAGGGCUGGAGGAGACUCAAGAAACCUCCCACAGAGCUGCUCCUGGGAACCUGAGGGCUGCGCCACCCACACUAGGAGACAGUGCUCCUUUCAUCCACAGCAGCCCAGGGCAGAAGAGCAGAACGUGAGGGCGGAAGUCCCUCCCCUAUCCUAGUACGUGCAGGCCGGCCAGGGAGCCAGGAACUCCCUCCACUGGCUGCCCCUGAGGACGUUGGGGGCAGGGUGAGUCCAGAGAGCUUCUCUAGGGUCUGCUUUGCACAGCCCUGCAACAUCUGGGCACAGAUCACCUCAGGGCCCUCUGCCAGUUGAGCUGGGCCUCACCGUGCCAUCAUGCCAAGAAGCAUGACAGAGGAACAGCGCUCCAGAGCAGAGCAGGGGACCUUCUCAGUGGCCCGCUCCCACAGCAGUUGGAUCACUGCAGGUUUCAACUCAUCCUUCUGCACAAACUCACAGAGCUGAGGAGAGAAGAAAGAAGGCUCAGGCCAAAAAACAAAUCCCUUUGGCCCACUUCUCUGAAGACAAGACUAAGAACCUUAAGUGGGUAAAACCAAUAUUUUGGAAUGAAAAAGGAAGAAGGAUACUCAAUAUGUAAAAUAGGUGCUUCUGUAUCAAUUUUCUAUACUCAUGCCUUCAAACCUACACUUGUUAAAGUGAUACAUCAGCACUGAUUUUUUCUAAGUUCCAUGUAGAUCCAUAGUUCUGACUAUAUUCUAGAGAUUUCUAGAAGGUUUUCUUGCUAUUGCCACAAACUCAGCCUGUAUAAAAUGUAAGCUAUCAUUCUUUCCUGCCUCUUCAUUUUGCCAGUAGUACCAAUUCUCUCUUAAUUAUACAUACUUAAAAUUUCAGUCACCGAAUUUUAUGAAUUAGUCCUACCUAUCUUUCCUUUAAUAUUUGUCUUCUGGUAUGUCCAAUUCUGUAGCUAUUCCUCCAGGUCAGAGUCUUACCCCUUGUAUACCUAUAGUAGCCUCCAGUAACCUUCCUGUACUGUACCUAACCCCUCUCCAACCACCUUGUAUGUGGUUGCUGGGUCAGUCUCACCAAACAUCUGUCUCCUCCUGUCACAGUUCUAUUAUUUAUUACUUUGAAUCAGCACUCUGUCUACCACACAGGCUCCUGACUACUUACCAGCCUGGGAGAUCUCAGGCCACUUGCCACCACCAGGGUAGCUCCCAGGGAAGAGAAAAAUAUAGCAGGCAGCAGUGCUGCUCCCAGUGGUAACUAGAGGUCAGUACUACCUUCACUGUUUGUAUCCACAAUGCAAAUAUUUCAUAGGAGGUUUGCCUCAUUAAAAUACUGGGGUCCUUGCCUAACAUGAAAUCCUAGACUUUGAAAGGUAUUCAGGACCUGCACAAUUUAGUUUCAAACUACAUUCCCAAUUUUACCUUCUGUUCUAGAUAAUUUUGAGCCAAAAUACAAUAUUCCUUAUUCUAUAACACAGCUUGUCUCCUUGGGUUUAUAUCUGACAUGCUUUCCCUCUAGUCUCUAACUCUUUAUAUUCUACUUCUCUUUCAAGACCUAACUUAAGUCCUACUACCUUUUCACAGCUUCCCUUGACCAUUCUACCACAAACAGCUCUCAUUCCUACUCCAUAUUCCUCAUGCCUUCAAAACUACACUUGUUAAAGUGAUACACCAGCACUGAUUUUUUCCAAGUUCCAUGUGGAUCCAUGAACAGCACAGAAGUUAAGUAUGUUUUCUGGAGUUCUCAUAGCCUGUCUCUAACUAGCUGUAACUAGCCAAGUUCCUUAACCUUCUACUAAGACUCUCAGAUUUCUCAUUUUAAAAAACAAAGAAAACUUCCUUACAGAGUUGUGGAGCAUGAAAUAUCAUUUAAGUGUUGUUAUUUUAUUAUUAUUGCUAUUUUAAUCAUUACCUGCUAUUUUAAUCAUUGCCACUUAUCAUAACAAUUAUCAACUUGCUGCAUUAUUCUAAAAAUGUUUUGUGUUUUGGCUAUCAACUAGAUUAUUGUUUCUUUUACAGUUGGAAAUGUCAAAGUUAAUAAUCUUACACUUCUUUAUGGGCCGAGUAAACUGCUGAACACAUA